UGGGCAACAAGUACUAAGUUUAUAUAUUCAGAUCGAUUUAGCUGACCAAGUGUUAAAAUUUUCUAGCAAAGACUGUAAUAUAAAAUUUAUAGGCAGUUAGAUAACAAACAAAGGACCAUUGGUUAAGCAAGAAAGAUGGAAUGAUUGCUUCUUGAGUAUCGAGGGAAGGCAUUUUGGUCAAAUUAAUAAAAAGACAUAUGUACGUAUGUAUGUAUGUA
rnacentral:lncRNA from 1 species